rnacentral:rRNA from 1 species
AUACGUAGGGUGCGAGCGUUGUCCGGAAUUACUGGGCGUAAAGAGCUCGUAGGUGGUUUGUCGCGUCGUCUGUGAAAUUCCGGGGCUUAACUCCGGGCGUGCAGGCGAUACGGGCAUAACUUGAGUACUGUAGGGGAGACUGGAAUUCCUGGUGUAGCGGUGAAAUGCGCAGAUAUCAGGAGGAACACCGGGGGCGAAGGCGGGUCUCUGGGCAGUAACGGACGCUGAGGAGCGAAAGCAUGGGUAGCGAACAGGAUUAGAUACCCUGGUAGUCCAUGCCGUAAACGGUGGGCGCUAGGUGUAGGGGUCUUCCACGACUUCUGUGCCGUAGCUAACGCAUUAAGCGCCCCGCCUGGGGAGUACGGCCGCAAGGCUAAAACUCAAAUGAAUUGACGGGG